CACUUUAUUCAUUGAGUCUUCAGUGUUGAACAUCAGCUCAUGUCCCAUCACGUAUUAUGGACAGAAGUACGAGCAGCUCUAUGUGAACAUAACAUCUGGAAAUGUUGCCGUCUGUUUCAACGGCUUUUUCAGUCCUGAAACUGGAGGUGACUGUGUUGUGGAGCGUUCAGUGGGCACAGACAGUUUUUACUUUAAGAUAUAUUCAUUCCCUUCUUAUGUUGAUUAUUGCGACUUCCAGAUAUAUUUCAAAAAUAUUUAUUUGGUUCAUUAUAUCAAAGGCACAAUACCACAUCUGUACUCGUACAUUAAAAACUCUGACCCAACGGUG